GGACCCAUGCAUGUAAUUUGUUAUGUGCAUCUUCUAGCUUGUGGACACUUUUAAAUACACCCCAGCCCAUGCUAUAUUUGAACAAGUCCAUAAUUGGUGCUGGCGUAAUAAGACUACACAGUAAAAAAGUUUUCUUGAGUUGCUCACCUCUUAAGUACUUGUAACUCAGCUCAAUUGUUGAGUAUGCCUCUGCUGGUACUCCUUCGUCGAAGCUUGCCUCUGAAGGCGUUUGGAGUUCUUGCAAGGCAUUCUUCCACACAGGCAGCUCUUUUUUUCUCAGUGCCUUUGCUACUGUGGUUAGGGCAAUAGGCAAACCUCCGCAUGCCUUGGCUACACUUGUUGCUGUAGAUUCUAAUUCACGAUUUUCCACAUAAUCACCUGCCAUUAUCUUGAACAAUCUCCAGGCUUCUUGUUCAUUUAAAAUGCCAAUCGAGAAGUUUUUUUCAGAUUCCAUCCUUAACAGCACAUCGAGAUCUCUUGUUGUGAAUAAUAAUUUGCAUCCUCUGUGCUCAACUCCAAAAGGAAUUCCAAUAGUCCCCAAAUCAAGAGGUUUCCAGAUGUUAUCCAGAAUCACAAGGAUCUUCUUCUCAUUCUUCAAUCUUUCAUAUAGUCUACUAGCUCUUCUAGACUCAGCUUCCUCGGACAACUGUAGGCCUAACGUUUCCGCAAUUUCCUCUUGGAUCUUUUUUAUGUCUGGACUUUGGGUAACCUCCGAAAAAGCCACCAUAUCGUAAAGCUUGUCUUCAAUGGCUCGCCUUGCAAACUCCUUCACCAGUGUCGUCUUUCCAAUGCCGCCCAUGCCGUAGACCCCAAUGAUGCUGACAUCAACAUCGAUCAAUGCAUUUUGAAUGGCCUUCAAAGUAGAAAGUCUUGAUUCGAAGGCCUCGCAGCCUUUGUGAGACUUGAGCCAUAUAUCCUCCGGAAUGGUACGGUAGGAAAUUCUAUCAUCAAAUUUCCCAGCUUCUUCUUUGAGUUCAACAAUGGCCUUCACCUUUGUUUCUGCUUCCUUGCUAAGCUGAUAGCCGGACUUCAAAUUAGGACACAAGCCCAUGAGACAUCGUUUAUUUGUUGUCUCCUCAUCGUCAAUGAAUUUGGCUGACUGCUCAAUGGUGUUGUUCGCACGAACCAGCCACUUCUCAACCUUCUCUUCAAUCUUUUCCCCUUUUCUUUCAGCCUCAGAAACCCUGUGCUGAAUGCUUCUCCUUUCAUCCUUGAGCUUGUCUAUUUCUGCCUUGAGAUUCUCAACGUUGGCUUUAUAGUUACGCAAAUAACCAAAUCGGCGUUCUGUUGGAGGAGCCAAGCANNNNN
rnacentral:lncRNA from 1 species